AUGCCUUUAGGAAAAUCCACAAAGACAAUAUCCAGGGUGACCAUGCCGGUAGCACCGGGAGUAGAAAGCCACGAGGGAGACUCAGCCGGGAAUACAAAGCCUGUGAAGGACAUCCUCAACACGAAGGCCAAGGGUGAAGAACCAGAGAGGGUGAAGGAUUGGAGUGGACCAGGCUCUGUGACAGUCAAAGGCACCAAUGGAACCAAAGAGGACACAUCUGUUAGAACCAGUACAAGACCACUUGUCAACACAAACUACAGGGUUAUACCUAAACCAGGUGAUAGAAUAACCUUGCCCAGGAAACCAUACAUUGGAGGCUCUAUCCGUUUUAAUGGUACAAGAGUCGGCCAGGGUGGGAGGAGAGUGGGUCACAGUCUUCUGAAAAAGCCUACGAGCAGAAAUCCAAUGGAGGUGCCAAAGGUCAAGGAGACCUUGGAUACGGACUCUAAACCAGAGAAUCCCUUUGUUGGGGACAAGACUGUAGCCUUAACUGUGAAAGAAACUAACCUGGAGACGAGUCCUCUUGGAGAAAAAGAUGAAACUUUGACAAAGGCAUAUCCUGUCGGGAUCCUUCCUGUAAAUGGCACUUCAAGAUCUGGUUCUGAACCGUCAGUGAAGGACUUACCCGAUAGAAAAAAAGAUACAGAGAUUGAAACAAAUGAGCCAGGGCCAGGGACAGAGGGUUUGGAGCAUACCACCACAUCAGAAAGAAAUACGACGGUUCACCCGAAUGGGAAGAAAUGUGUCAACAAGGUUAAAUUGACACACAGGAAAGUCAAUGUGACACGUGGAGAGAGAGUCAUUGGAGGGCGGUUGAAUGGCACAAUAGUUCAACGUAAACCCACAGCAGGGCAGGGUUUCGCUGAAAAAGACGACGGUGCCCUAAAAGUGUCCGAAGCAGGACAUUCAAAGACAACAUUUCAUGAGCGUAACCGGGUCAUUCACACACAGAGUAAAGCAGAUGACAUUUCUCCACACACCACCCAAAGUCCUACAUAUCUAACUUCCUCUUCACCAGUAUCACCUACUUCCCACAUGUCACUUUCUUCUUCAGCUCCCGCUAAGCAUGAUGAAUCAAUGACCGGUAUGGGUCAACCUAUGACUGACAGAGACGUGGCGAAUGGAGAGACUUUGCCUGUUCCCCAAACCCAAUCAUCCAACCUCCCACCAGAGACGGAACCAACAUCCUCCAGUGAAUCAGAACAAAAUGGUAAAGGACCAUCUCCCUCCAACCCUGAGGACUCAUACUCAGGUAAAGCUCAUGUUGCAGUAGCAGAAGUGGGAGUCAGCAAAGAUGGAGCGAAAACCGCUAACGGGGGAUUUGGAACCAAACAAAACAAGACAAAGACUCUGAGAGUGGGCGGCUCACCACCUUUUCGCCGCCUACCUCCAAAGGGGCCCUACCAACGCCGCCCGUACCUAAAUAUGAGACCAUUCCAAAACAGGACACGUUCACCUUUUUCAGCUCCCGCAAAACAAAAUGAAUCAAAGACCGGUACGGGUCAACCCAUGACUGACAGACAACUAUUGUUUCCAAAGACAUUAACCGUUUCCCCAGCACAAUCCUCAACCCUCCCUUCAGAUGCCCAGCCAGAGAUAGCACCAAAGUCCUCCAGUGAAUCAGAACACAGUGGCAAAGGCUAUUCAUCAUCAUCAUCAUCCACUUCAGAGGAACCUUCUGCUGUGGCAGAGGAUGGUAUCAGCAGAGAUGGGGACAGGGCAACUGACAUGGUGUCGUCUGGAACUGAACGAAACAGGUCAAGGACUCUGACACUGGGCAGCACACCACCCUUGCGCCGUCUACCUCCAAAGGGGACGCAGCAACGCCGUCCACACCCAAAUAUGGGAGCAUUCCCAAACAGGACGCGAACAAACCUGAUACCCCCUUGGCAUCCAUCAAGAGGCCCCAUACGCAGACCUUUCCCACCUAAACUGACAAACAGGAACAACGGCAUCAUCGUUCAAACCCCUCAAACAGGGGAGCAGGGCACCUACAGCACCAGCCAGAAUGACACAAACACAGACCUAAAGCCCAAAACUCUCCUCAAGAAAACAAAUGCCACAGCUGGUAAAAUAGCACGAGAUCAAACACACAUAAGAAAUAACAGUAGCUUGAGCCAAAGGGGCCAAGAUUCAAAAACAGGCCAUCCUGACAAAGGUAGCCAAGUGAGUAAGAACGCUGACUCAAGAGACAGCCCAAACCAGAUUAAUGGGUCAGAUGUCACUACUACUGGAAAAACAGGCCAGCCUCUAAACUCAGUGGGGGUUCAAAGCAUAACCUCAGGAGGGCUCAUACUCGUUUGGGAAGCACCAGAGGGGAUGUACAGAAAUUUCAUAGUAACCUGGGAAGAGCAUGGAAGUAAGAACGAGGCAGAGAAAGAGGAGGAGAAGGAAGAGGAAGAGGAGGAGAGCGAGUCAGAGGAGGAUAGGCAGGAGGAAGGGGAGGCGGAGGGACAAACUGAGAAGGAGAACAAUGGGAAUGAGGAGGAAAGUGAAAUGGGGGUGAGUCAAGGUAAGGAGGGCGGGGAGGAGAACACUGUUACCAAUAGCAAAAGUGAUAACCAAAGACAGAGCAGCGACAGUAAUGCUACGGCUAAAGUUGGCGACGGUGGUACAAUCAAGUUCUCCAAAGUCCUUCCGGGGUCAGCUCGCUCAUUCCGAUUCCAGAAUCUCCAUCCACAGACCCGCUAUUCCCUGUCCGUGUUUGGGAAGGGUCCCGGACUACGCUCCAAAAUACACCGACUCAUCGUCAGCACAGGUACCGGCCAUAGUUUAAACUCUCCAACCUCUACAAGGGUUUAUUCAUUAUCGUUCAAAUACAGGACUUGGCUAGUAAUUCCAGACACCCAAGGUAGAUGCCGAUGCAUCCUCACACCGUUUUAG
ensembl:lncRNA